rnacentral:rRNA from 1 species
CACGGGGUUGCGAGCGUUGUCCGGAAUUACUAGGCGUAAAGGGCAGGCAGGCGGAUCCAUAAGUUUACCGUUUAAGGCGUCGGCUUAACCGGCGUAGGGCGGUAGAUACUGUGGAUCUGGAAUGCGGUUGGGGAAGACAGAAUUCCUGGUGUAGCGGUGGAAUGCGCAGAGAUCAGGAGGAAUACCGAAGGCGAAGGCAGUCUUCCAAGCCGUUAUUGACGCUCAACUGCGAAGGUGUGGGUAUCAAACAGGAUUAGAUACCCCGGUAGUUCCUGAGCGGG